GCCUUGGUGGAUCAAUGGCAGAUUAUCCCUUCUCCGUGGAUUGAGCCGUACACUGCAUACACAUGGGAAGACGGAGGUUCGAAUCCUCCCCAAGGCA